AUUGCCGCCCCGGACCGCCUCCGGUCCCUGGGCCGCGGCUCAGCCCCGCAGGGGCCGCGCGUGGGGUGCGACGGUAAAGGUGCUGCCACCGCUACGGAGCCGGUGUGCUUACACUGGAGCCUGCCGUGUGCACCGGAGCGCUGUGCUGUCUGGGUGAACCCAGUGGUGCUGGUGAUUAAACUGGUGGGAAAUGAGGCAAAACUCUUUCAGUCACGGCCCUUGGUCGUGCCGUGCAGGAGGUGUAUCCUGGCUGUGCUAAUUUACAGCAUGCUCUGUUUGACUUGUCCUUAAAGAUGGGGGUUAGUAUUUGCUGGGAGCUGUUUCAUAGCCUCUUGCUGGCCCCACUGGCUGUGCCGGCUGAGCUGUGCUGGCCUCGGGGACUGCCUCCAGCUCUGCAUUUGUGUUGGUGAAAGUGCUGUACUUAGAGCUGAUCACAUCUGGUCAGCCACAGUGAGAUUCAUUAAUGAAGUCCGGUUCUAAUUUUUUUUUUCUUACUAGUUUUUUUUUAAAAACCCAAGCUUCUCGUACUUAAUGCUCUUGUGUGCAGAAUAACAUGAGUUUUUGUUCUCGAUUGCUUAGAAAAGUGGUAAUAAAACUUUAUUUUCAUAACUUAUGGAGGCAAUCAGUUCUGUCCUACUUCCGAUCUUUUAAAAGCCUGGACUUCUCACUUUCUUAAAGUGCUUGGGUUUGUUCGAAACCAAUGGUUGCCACUGUGAGUGGGUUUUUGUCCAGUUCUUCACAAAGAGAACUUUGCCUGAACUCUCAGCCAUAGGGACUGCAGUUAUUGGAAAUCGCUCUGUGAUUGAAUGCUCACCUCUUGUGAACCUUCCCCACAGGUGAUUGCUGAAUGUUUAAAUCGGCACAGAGUCAUAAAUGGUGUUGUUCUCCUGAACUUUAGAUUGUGCUGUGUGGCAGUGUCCUGUGAAGAGUCUUUGUUAAGAGGGCAGCUCGCUUCUGCUUUGUCAGGACACAAACAUUUUUCUCAUCAUUGGAGAAAACGAG
ensembl:lncRNA